rnacentral:rRNA from 1 species
GACGAACGCUGGCGGCGUGCUUAACACAUGCAAGUCGAACGGGCCUUGUCCCCUUUUUUUUUGGGGGUGGGGUUAGUGGCGAACGGGUGAGUAACACGUGAGUAACCUGCCCCUCACUUCUGGAUAACCGCUUGAAAGGGUGGCUAAUACGGGGUGUUCUGGCCUGCUCGCAUGGGUGGGUUUGGAAAGAUUCGACCGGUUUUGGUUGUUUUGGUGGGGGAUGGGCUCGCGGCCUAUCAGCUUGUUGGUGGGGUGAUGGCCUGCCAAGGCUUUGACGGGUAGCCGGCCUGAGAGGGUGGGCGGUCACACUGGGACUGAGACACGGCCCAGACUCCUACGGGAGGCAGUAGUGGGGAAUAUUGCACAAUGGGCGCAAGCCUGAUGCAGCGACGCCGCGUGAGGGAUGGAGGCCUUCGGGUUGUGAACCUCUUUCGCCAGUGAAGAAGGUCCUGCUCUUUGUGGUGGGGUUGACGGUAGCUGGGUUAAUGAAGCGCCGGCUAACUACGUG